AUAACCCUACGGGGGGCAGCAGUGGGGAAUAUUGGGCAAUGGGCGCAAGCCUGACCCAGCAACGCCGCGUGAAGGAAGAAGGCUUUCGGGUUGUAAACUUCUUUUGUCAGGGACGAAGCAAGUGACGGUACCUGACGAAUAAGCCACGGCUAACUACGUGCCAGCAGCCGCGGUAAUACGUAGGUGGCAAGCGUUAUCCGGCUUUAUUGGGUGUAAAGGGCGUGUAGGCGGGAAUGCCAGUCAGAUGUGACAACUAUGGGCUCCACCCCUACCCUUCAUUUGAAA
rnacentral:rRNA from 1 species